CCUACGGGAGGCAGCAGUGAGGAAUAUUGGUCAAUGGGCGCGAGCCUGAACCAGCCAAGUAGCGUGAAGGAUGACUACCCUACGGGUUGUAAACUUCUUUUAUAAAGGAAUAAAGUGAGGCACGUGUGCCUUUUUGUAUGUACUUUAGGAAUAAGGAGCGGCUAACUCAGUGCCAGCAGCCGCGGUAAGACGGAGGAUCCGAGCGUUAUCAGGAUUUGUUGGGUUUAAAGGGAGCGUAGUUGGGUUGUUAAGUCAGUUGUGAAAGUUGGCGGUUCAACCGUAAAAUUGCAAUUGAUACUGGCAGCCUUGAGUACAGUUGAGGUAGGCGGAAUUCGUGGUGUAGCGGUGAAAUGCUUAGUUAUCACGAAGAACUCCGAUUGCGAAGGCAGCUUACUAAACUGCCACUGACAUUGAUGCUCGAAAGUGUGGGUAUCAAACAGGAUUAGAUACCCCAGUAGUC
rnacentral:rRNA from 1 species